CAUUCAACAGGGAGAGAAAAUGAAUGAGGAGAACCAGUGAAGCUGAGAUUGACCCCAAAAAGUUUUAUGUAACUUGAAACACCUUGAGACAAUACAUUUUCUAUCAGGCACCUCGGCACCACAUGAAGGCACCAAAAUGCAGUAGUGGACCAUGAUGAACAUUAUUUGUCGCCUUUAAGACAAGAGAGAACACACAUGCACAUACGUAAUCAAUCCACUAGACCUUAUCCAACAGUCGCAACUCGCAAUGGGAAGCUUAAUCUCACCAAAGUGCAUGGAAUAAGAGACAUUAUAGUAAACAAACCUUGCGCUCUAUUGACUUGGUCCAUUUUUGCAGCUUCUGAGGCAAGGAUCACUGAACUCUUCCUUCCGUCUGCAAUA